rnacentral:rRNA from 1 species
UUUUACGUCCCUGCCCUUUGUACACACCGCCCGUCGCUACUACCGAUUGAUGGCUCAGUGAGGCGUCCGGACUGGCCCAGAGAGGCGGGCAACUGCCACUCAGGGCCGGAAAGCUCUCCAAACUCGGUCAUUUAGAGGAAGUAAAAGUCGUAACAAGGUCUCCGUUGGUGAACCAGCGGAGGGAUCAUUACC